rnacentral:tRNA from 1 species
CGAGGAGUAGCUCAAUGGUAGAACUCCAGCCUCAUAUGCGGGAAGACCAGGAUUCGAUUCCUGGCUGCUCAC